AGCGGUCGUUGUCUCAACAUUUUCACAACGUCGACUUUUAACCAAUGUCGAUAAAAUUGAAAAAAAUCAACGUUGUUUCAAUGUCAUAUUUCAACAAAUCUUCAACGUCGAGAAAACAACGUUGCUUCAACGUUGAAUCAACGUUUAUCGACGUCACGACUAAAGAUCAACUAUAUAUCAACGUUGAAUCAACGUUGUGUGCCUGCUGGGAAACGUCUUGGGGGCGAAACGUCGUGGUGCGAAACGUCCGACAUUCUAUAUGAUUCGUUAGCUGCAAGGUUUGCGUACGAUCAUGAUCAGCUGUUGAAACAACGAGAGUCUUUGAAGGAACACUACAGCUGCUGAAAUGACGAGUUAUUUUUCUGACAUCAUAUCAACACAAAGUAGAAUGACCACAUCAGAGCCAUCUCAACACUCACAACAGGAAAUGGUUUCAAGUAAUUUAAAGAUGCCAAGGAAUGGACAGGCUACUUGUCCAGAUGGCACCACUUCCUGACCCAGGGCACCACCACUUCCUGACCCAGGGCACCACCCCUUCCAGACCCAAGGGAGGUUCCAAAAUGUUUGUCAAAUGGGGAACAAAAAACAAAGCUGACUUUGCAGCAAAAGAACAGACAGGAUACUGGUGCAGCUGGCACCACUUCUUGACACGGGGCACCACCACUUCCUGACCCAGGGCACCACCAUUUCCUGACCCAGGGCACCACCACUUCCUGGCCCAGGGCACCACCACUUCCUGACCCAGGGCACCACCACUUCCUGACCUGGACCUAGAUGUUAAAAUGGACAUUUUGAAGAAGAGCCAGUCUCUGUCCAAGAAACCAAAAUUAGAGAAAACUCAAGGUAUGUGACCUGGGAAGAAUUUGAAAAACUGAAAAAUGACUUCUUGAAACUGAAGAAGAAAAUGGAGAAGUAAAAAACCUUAGAACCCAUGCAAGUUUCAAGAAAGGCCAGCCAAACACACCACCGUGAACCAACAACACCAACAACACCUAGAACAUCACAGCAGACAGACUCGACAAGGAUAUCCCAAUCAACACCAACACCACAGCAGACUGAUACAACAAAGACAACAGAACAAACAUCAUCAUCAUCAUCAUCAUCAUCAACAGACAUACAGACAUACAAUGGUCACACAUUGAGUGACUUGAUGGAUAUGGUGUGCCACAAAGAUAAUCUUUAUGCGUGUUGUGCACACCAUAUUACUGGUUCUGUUUCCAGUAAAUUAUAUUGUAUCACACAGUGUGACAGGACAGAGGACAAACAGUCAUUGUGCUGCCAAACCCAAAUUUGAUGGUCGGCUUUACAACAUUUUCCUCGCUGUCUUGGGGUGUAGAGGGGGGGUGUUAUGAGUACAUGUACUUUAAAAAAAAUAAUGCCAUUGAAUUAGAUUUCCAGAGCAAAUAAUGAAGUGAUUUUUAUUGGUAUGUUUUGUCAAAUCUUAUUAUCUAAGAUAUUUUAGAAUUAUACAUGCAUGUCCAUUGUGUAAUUUUAUUGUUUUCAAUCUGUGCUAACAGUUGUAUAUUAUUUUAGAAAGAUCCUUUUUUUCAAGACGCUACUUUUGCUUUUGAUGUUUGCUAUAAUAAUUAAAAAAAAUGUACAUGUAUGCAUGUACAUUGUACAUAGUUAAUCAUGUGGCCUUACUGUUCUCCAUAAAGGUACUGUAUUGUUUUUUUUUUUAUUAUAAUUGUCAACCAACUCUCAAGUACAUUAGACUUUUUACAACUAUAAGGUUAAACCAGGUCGACCAUGGUUAAUCAUGGUUUGACCAUGGAUAAUUAGACCAUGGCCAAUCGUGGUCAACCAUGGUCACGGUUCGCAGGGGUCAGUCCUUUGUAGUUUGACUUGAAGCAGUUUACAGGUUUAUGAGGAGUUGACUGGAAAAAAUUCCCCCUACACCCAAAAAACAAAGUAUAGUGACCUGGUUACCAUGGUAACCACAAAAUUACAACAUGAUCUAGAUAACGCUCAUCUACAAUGUAUAAAAAACAAAAGAGGUAAACCAUCAUAUUUAUUAUUGCAUACAAUCUCUCAUGUAAGGGACAUAACUCUGGUCUUGUCCUUUAUUAAAUUAUCUCCCUUUGAUUGUUUCACACUGGUCUGUAAGUGUUGUUCAGUUUCAGACAGAGUUGCUACAAUUAAGCCAUUUGCUUUUCAAAGUAGACAAGUUGGCAUACAUAUUCCACAAUGUUGUCUCCUUAUUCUGAAAUGUAUUAAGCUGAUUGUACACAUUAGCAUAUUUCAUUUAAGCAUGACUAUGAUGUUACUUAUUUCACUUUUUAAUUUUUGUGCUUUUAAUCUGUUGCCUAAAAAGUACAUGUCAAAUUAAACUAAACUUGGUAUAAAUGUAGUUAGAUCACACAGUGAAAAUCUCAACAACACAGCCUUCAUUUAUAGAAUAUCUUCAAGAAUCUAUGGAACAGUGACUCUGGAAAUUAAGAUUGCUGGGAAUCUAGAAAUUUUUGGUUCUUAAUGUGUUCAUAUCCUGAUCAGUUUCUCAAAAAGUAUCAAUGUUACUUCUACCAAACUGGAAUAUAGUUGUAUUGUUGUAUGAACAUCUUGACACACCCUACAUAAUACAUGAAUUUUGGGGUUAAAAAUGAAAUAUUUAUCUGAAUUUUGAGAAUUUGUGAUUUUGUAAUAUUGUCCAAUAUUUAUUUUGCAAUGCAUCAAUAUUUACUCAUGUCUAUGAUAUGUAGAGAGUGCUUCCAUGCUAUGUGGAAAUGUUUUGGAAAAAGUACUGGAAUUUUAGUGAAUUUUGGAGUUUGCCUAAAACUUGACAUUUUAAUUAGCCUCUCUUGACACUGCUAUAAUAAUGUGUAAUUUCUUUUGUCUUUGUUGUUUUGUGAAACAUCACUAUCCGUGUAUUUGAUAUUUUUUUAGUUUGGAACUAUUUCAACUGUUUACACUAUAAGACACAUGAUUUUGGAAUUAUAUGUAAAUAUUUAUACAUUUAUUAAUACCAUUGUUAACAUGUU